rnacentral:SRP_RNA from 2 species
GCUGGGCGUGGUGGCGCAUGCCUGUAGUCCCAUCUACUUGGGAGGCUGAGGCAGGAGAAUCGCUUGAGCCCGGGAGGCAGAGGUUGCAGUGAGCCAAGAUCACACCACUGCACUCCAGCCUGGGCGACAGAGUGAGACUCCGUCUCAA